GAACGGGUGCUAGCUGCCCGCAAGGGUGGCUAGCGCUAGUGGCGGACGGGUGAGUAACACGUGGGCAACCUGCCUGAGAGUGCGGAAUAACCCUGCGAAAGCAGAGCUAAUACUGCAUGUGGUUGUCGGAUGGCAUCAUCUGACAACUAAAGUCGCAAGACGCUCUCAGAUGGGCCCGCGGCCUAUUAGCUAGUUGGUGAGGUAACGGCCCACCAAGGCGAUGAUGGGUAGCUGGUCUGAGAGGACGGACAGCCACACUGGGACUGAGACACGGCCCAGACUCCUACGGGAGGCAGCAGUGAGGAAUUUUCCGCAAUGGGCGAAAGCCUGACGGAGCAACGCCGCGUGAGGGAUGAAGUCUACUAGGGAUGUAAACCUCUGUUGGGUGGGACGAAGAUCUGACGGUAUCACCUGAGGAAGCCCCGGCUAACUACGUGCCAGCAGCAGCGGU
rnacentral:rRNA from 1 species